CAGCCGCCGCGGUAAGACAGAGGAUGCAAGCGUUAUCCGGAAUGAUCGGGCGUAAAGCGUCUGUAGGUGGCUUUUCAAGUCCGCCGUCAAAUCCCAGGGCUCAACCCUGGACAGGCGGUGGAAACUACCAAGCUGGAGUACGGUAGGGGCAGGGGGAAUUUCCGGUGGAGCGGUGAAGUGCGUUGAGAUCGGAAAGAACACCAACGGCGAAAGCACUCUGCUGGGCCGACACUGACACUGAGAGACGAAAGCUAGGGGAGCAAAUGGGAUUAGAUACCCGCGUAGUCCCUGUCUCUUAUAC
rnacentral:rRNA from 1 species